UCUUAUGGAUGAGCAAAGAAAGUGGUUUCUUGCGAUGGCAUCUUUUCUUGGUGAAGAUGCUGUGAA
rnacentral:pre_miRNA from 1 species